rnacentral:lncRNA from 1 species
AUGGAUCUUCAUUCAGUUAUUCUGCUCUGUGUCUCAGCUGCUGCUGUCUUUGGAAAUGUCAUCAAACCAGAACAGCUUGAUGUUUUUUCUGAGGAGGGUUCAAGUGUUACAUUAUCCUGUAGUUAUUCUGCUUCUGGACGUACAGAUUAUCUCCACUGGUACCGUCAGUAUGGAAGAUCAAAACCUGAAUUUCUUGUACUCACCUACAGCAAUGCAAAAGAAGCUCAGCAGUCUGAUGUAGAUCCAAGAUUCUCUGUUAACAUUUCGAAAAGUCAAUAUGUGGAUCUGGAGAUAUCUUCUGCUGCUGUAUCAGACUCUGCUCUGUACUACUGUGCUCUGGUGCCCACAGUGACAGGAAACACAUCAGCUCUCUACAAAAACCUGUUACAGUAAGAGACAAGAGAGAAACACAGAGACAGAGAUGAAUGAAAAUUGUGUGCAAUGUGAAAGGUAUUCAUUACAUUAAAUUACAGUUACACUAUGAAGCUGCUCUUUAAUACCUGUAAUUCAGAAAGCUGUUAAACAAUAAAACAUCUCAAAUGAUUCUCACGUGCAAUAAAUAGUGCAGGUUCAUGUAUGCCACAGGAGGGCAGUGCUCACAUACUUUCACAUGGAGUUACUGCUGUUUCAAAUCCUAUAUAAUAAGAGAAAACAACAUUAUGUUAUAUAUUUUUAUUAUGAAAAUUAUACUGAAAAAUUAAAGAUAAUUAAAGAUACAAAGUAAAAAAUAAAACGUAACUCUACAAAGAAAAAUUACAUAUUAUUCAGAUUUUCAUUACUUAAUAUUUCCAUGCUUAUAAUAAGGUGAAAAACACAGGCAUCAAAUAUUUUAAGUGACUAUAGCCUUAAAUUAAUUAAUUGAAAUUAUAAAUACAUUAAAAUACCUUAAUUAAAAUUUGGUGUUAAAAGGUCAGUGUAAGGUGUUAAGUAUAUUUCCGAUAAUUGACUUUAUACAGGCACUUAUUGAGUUUUUGUUAAUAUUUAUGCUUUUUGUAGAAACACUACGCACCAUCAUCAUCACUGUAAAGUUUUGUGCACAGAGAGGAAACUAAACUGCAUCGAAAUAAUUUAAAUAUCAUGCUUCUCGUGGUGCUUCUGAGGUAAAAGCUUGUGCAAAUCUUUUUAUAUACAACAUUCUCUUAUUGUCUAAUAAAAUAAUAAAGUUAUCUUACACAGUUAAAUGACAGUCAAUUGCAG